rnacentral:rRNA from 1 species
GAUGAACGCUAGCGAUAGGCUUAACACAUGCAAGUCGAGGGGCAGCAUGGUCUUAGCUUGCUAAGACUGAUGGCGACCGGCGCACGGGUGCGUAACGCGUAUGCAACUUGCCUCACAGAGGGGGAUAACCCGUCGAAAGACGGACUAAUACCGCGUACACUCCAUCUUGGGCAUCCAAGGUAGAGGAACUGAAAUUCGCUGUGAGAUAGGCAUGCGUCCCAUUAGCUAGUUGGUGAGGUAACGGCUCACCAAGGCGACGAUGGGUAGGGGAACUGAGAGGUUGAACCCCCACACUGGUACUGAGACACGGACCAGACUACUACGGGAGGCAGCAGUGAGGAAUAUUGGUCAAUGGGCGAGAGCCUGAACCAGCCAAGUCGCGUGAGGGAUGACUGUCUUAUGGAUUGUAAACUUCUUUUAUACGGGAAUAACAAGAGUCACGUGUGACUCCCUGCAUGUACCGGAUGAAUAAGCAUCGGCUAACUCCGUG